GUGCCAGCCGCCGCGGUAAUACAGAGGUCCCGAGCGUUGUUCGGAUUCACUGGGCGUAAAGGGUGCGUAGGUGGUCGGGUAAGUUUGAUGUGAAAGCUCUGGGCUCAACCCAGAAAUGGCAUUGAAUACUAUUCGGCUAGAGGAGUGGAGGGGGGACUGGAAUACUUGGUGUAGCAGUGAAAUGCGUAGAUAUCAAGUGGAACACCAGUGGCGAAGGCGAGUCCCUGGACACUUCCUGACACUGAGGCACGAAAGCUAGGGGAGCAAACAGGAUUAGAUACCCUAGUAGUCC
rnacentral:rRNA from 1 species